rnacentral:lncRNA from 1 species
CUGGGAACAGGAUGUUUCUGAUUACCCAUCCUGGCUGUGCUACAGACCGACUGUUCUUCAAUGGUCUGAUUGCAAAUACAAGGUGUCUAGAUAAGGUACUGGUAUGCCCACUAUACAGAGUGGGAAACUGAGGCUUAAGAGGCACAGAGGCACUUAUGACAGCUCUGGAUUCUCUAUGGUUGGUAUAAACUGGAGUAGGUUGUCCUUCUUGGCCUGCAGGUACUAAAGUUAUGGGAGAAUAGGAGACAGACAGUGCUCUGGCUUUGUGGGUCUAGAAGAGUCCGAAUUACAGAGAGCAAACCCUUUGGGAAAGCAGAGUCGGGAGUGGGAAGUGUUCCUGGGGAAUCCGGAACAACGUCAUACAAAGCAAAGACUAGAAGAGGAAAAUGCUGGCUGUAACCUCCCAAGGACGAUUACUGCUUGCCUGAAGAUUAGGUCACCUGGAAGGACAUUAAAGGCCACUGGUCUAGUGAGGGUUCUGAAAUGAACCAUUUUCUCAAGACGCAGGGCCUUCUAAUGGAAAUCAUGACAACAAGGGCUACUAUUUUGAGAAAAGUUACUCAGUGGCAGGCUUGGGUCCAAAUGCUUCGUGCGCACGCUCCGCUCUCCUCAGCUGAAAGGAUACUUGUUAUAGCUACGGCCUCGGUGGCUCGACUGCCUUGGGUUCUAAUUAGAAGACCUUGGGCCAGUCGCAGGCCCUCCACCUACCUCCUGCUUUGUCUGGAGAUUGAGGUUACAAAUGAUUUUCACCUCAAAGGAUUAUAGAGGUAUGACAACAGCCAUGAGUCAGACCUAGAAGACAUCAACCCUUGCUGCUCCAACCAUCAUCUGGGAUGUGAUAAGAUCAGUGUUUCAGGGGAGCUUUUCAAUGAGGGUGCGUGUUUGAGCUGAUGAUUUCAUGAACACAGAAGAACUGAAGAAGGGGGAGGAGCUAUGAGUUCCCUUGUUUGUCAGCUCUUUCACACAUUGCUCUGAGACCCUCCUCUGCAAGAGACAUCCUUUGCCCCCUGGAAGACACAUCUUCACAUACCCAGCCUGCACUUACUGGAUCACAAACAGAUAGAGGUGGG